rnacentral:tRNA from 1 species
GGAAGGGUGGCUGAGUCCGGUUUAAGGCACACGACUCGAAAUCGUGCGACCCCAAAAGGGUCCGUGGGUUCGAAUCCCACCCCUUCCG